ACCUGGUGGCGAGCGGCGGACGGGUGAGUAAUGCCUAGGAAUCUGCCUAGUAGUGGGGGAUAACGUCCGGAAACGGGCGCUAAUACCGCAUACGUCCUACGGGAGAAAGUGGGGGAUCUUCGGACCUCACGCUAUUAGAUGAGCCUAGGUCGGAUUAGCUAGUUGGUGAGGUAAUGGCUCACCAAGGCGACGAUCCGUAACUGGUCUGAGAGGAUGAUCAGUCACACUGGAACUGAGACACGGUCCAGACUCCUACGGGAGGCAGCAGUGGGGAAUAUUGGACAAUGGGCGAAAGCCUGAUCCAGCCAUGCCGCGUGUGUGAAGAAGGUCUUCGGAUUGUAAAGCACUUUAAGUUGGGAGGAAGGGCAGUUACCUAAUACGUGAUUGUUUUGACGUUACCGACAGAAUAAGCACCGGCUAACUCUGUGCCAGCAGCCGCGGUAAUACAGAGGGUGCAAGCGUUAAUCGGAAUUACUGGGCGUAAAGCGCGCGUAGGUGGUUUGUUAAGUUGGAUGUGAAAGCCCCGGGCUCAACCUGGGAACUGCAUCCAAAACUGGCAAGCUAGAGUAUGGUAGAGGGUGGUGGAAUU
rnacentral:rRNA from 1 species